UACGUAGGUGGCGAGCGUUGUCCGGAUUUACUGGGCGUAAAGAGCGCGCAGGCGGUCGAUCAAGUCGAGUGUGAAAGCCCCCGGCUCAACUGGGGAGGGUCAUUCGAUACUGAUCGACUCGAAGGCAGGAGAGGGUAGUGGAAUUCCCGGUGUAGCGGUGAAAUGCGCAGAUAUCGGGAAGAACACCCGUGGCGAAGGCGGUUCUCUGGGACGGUACUGACGCUGAGACGCGAAAGCGUGGGGAGCGAACAGG
rnacentral:rRNA from 1 species